rnacentral:rRNA from 1 species
AACGAACGCUGGCGGCAGGCUUAACACAUGCAAGUCGAACGCCCCGCAAGGGGAGUGGCAGUCGGGUGAGUAACGCGUGGGAACAUACCCUUUUCUACGGAAUAGCUCUGGGAGACUGGAAUUAAUACCGUAUACGCCCUACGGGGGAAAGAUUUAUCGGGGAAGGAUUGGCCCGCGUUGGAUUAGCUAGUUGGUGGGGUAAAGGCCUACCAAGGCGACGAUCCAUAGCUGGUCUGAGAGGAUGAUCAGCCACAUUGGGACUGAGACACGGCCCAAACUCCUACGGGAGGCAGCAGUGGGGAAUAUUGGACAAUGGGCGCAAGCCUGAUCCAGCCAUGCCGCGUGAGUGAUGAAGGCCUUAGGGUUGUAAAGCUCUUUCACAGAUGAAGAUAAUGACGGUAGUCGGAGAAGAAGCCCCGGCUAACUUCGUG